rnacentral:rRNA from 11 species
AAUUAUAUAUAAACUACCUAACAGUCAAUAUCAGAUCCUGUCUGAUCUUGGAAGCUAAACAGGGUCAGCCCCGGUUAGCACUUGAAUGGGUGACUGUAGUGGAUACCAGGUGCUGUAAGGC